UUGAUAGUAUGUGAAAACUGAAUCUUCUGUUUAUGUACAGAAGAUGGAGAACACAGGGGAAGUGCAAGCUUCCUCAAACUGUCCUGCCAAUGUUCCUCAACCCAACCCUGGAGUGGAUCAUCUCUAGGACUUGCUGAGGGGAAAAGGGAGCUUAGUCUGGGAAGAGCAUUCAGUCCUUGGCCUGU
rnacentral:sRNA from 1 species